CCGCGGCCUAUCAGCUUGUUGGUGGGGUGAUGGCCUACCAAGGCGGUGACGGGUAGCCGGCCUGAGAGGGCGACCGGCCACACUGGGACUGAGACACGGCCCAGACUCCUACGGGAGGCAGCAKUGGGGAAUAUUGCGCAAUGGGCGGAAGCCUGACGCAGCGACGCCGCGUGGGGGAUGACGGCCUUCGGGUUGUAAACCUCUUUCGCCAGGGACGAAGAGUGAUUGACGGUACCUGGAGAAGAAGCACCGGCCAACUACGUGCCAGCAGCCGCGGUAACACGUAGGGUGCGAGCGUUGUCCGGAAUUAUUGGGCGUAAAGAGCUCGUAGGCGGUGUGUCGCGUCGGCCGUGAAAACUUGGGGCUUAACUCUGAGCGUGCGGUCGAUACGGGCAUCACUUGAGUUCGGCAGGGGAGACUGGAAUUCCUGGUGUAGCGGUGAAAUGCGCAGAUAUCAGGAGGAACACCGGUGGCGAAGGCGGGUCUCUGGGCCGAUACUGACGCUGAGGAGCGAAAGCGUGGGGAGCGAACAGGAUUAGAUACCCUGGUAGUCCACGCCGUAAACGUUGGGCGCUAGGUGUGGGGACCAUUCCACG
rnacentral:rRNA from 3 species